rnacentral:rRNA from 1 species
GCGGUAAGGCCCUUCGGGGUACACGAGCGGCGAACGGGUGAGUAACACGUGGGUAACCUGCCCUGUACUCUGGGAUAAGCCUGGGAAACUAGGUCUAAUACCGGAUAUGACCUGCCUCCGCAUGGUGGUGGGUGGAAAGUUCCGGCGGUACGGGAUGGGCCCGCGGCCUAUCAGCUUGUUGGUGGGGUGAUGGCCUACCAAGGCGACGACGGGUAGCCGGCCUGAGAGGGUGACCGGCCACACUGGGACUGAGACACGGCCCAGACUCCUACGGGAGGCAGCAGUGGGGAAUAUUGCACAAUGGGCGAAAGCCUGAUGCAGCGACGCCGCGUGAGGGAUGACGGCCUUCGGGUUGUAAACCUCUUUCAGCAGGGACGAAGCGCGAGUGACGGUACCUGCAGAAGAAGCACCGGCUAACUACGUGCCAGCAGCCGCGGUAAUACGUAGGGUGCGAGCGUUGUCCGGAAUUAUUGGGCGUAAAGAGCUCGUAGGCGGUUUGUUGCGUCGGCCGUGAAAACUUCACGCUUAACGUGGAGCCUGCGGUCGAUACGGGCAGACUUGAGUUCGGCAGGGGAGACUGGAAUUCCUGGUGUAGCGGUGAAAUGCGCAGAUAUCAGGAGGAACACCGGUGGCGAAGGCGGGUCUCUGGGCCGAUACUGACGCUGAGGAGCGAAAGCGUGGGGAGCGAACAGGAUUAGAUACCCUGGUAGUCCACGCCGUAAACGGUGGGUGCUAGGUGUGGGGGGCUUCCACGUCCUCCGUGCCGCAGCUAACGCAUUAAGCACCCCGCCUGGGGAGUAC